rnacentral:rRNA from 1 species
CCUACGGGGGGCAGCAGUGGGGAAUAUUGCACAAUGGGGGAAAGCCUGAUGCAGCAACGCCGCGUGAGUGAAGAAGUCAUUCGGGAUGUAAAGCUCUAUCAGCAGGGAAGAAAAGGACGGUACCUGACUAAGAAGCCCCGGCUAACUACGUGACAGCAGCCGCGGUAAUACGUAGGGGGCCAGCGGUAUCCGGAUUUACUGGGUGUAAAGGGGGCGUUGUCGGGGACGAAAGGCGGAAGUGAAAUGGCUGUGCUCAACACUGGAACUGCUGUGGAAACUGGGUGGCUAGAGUGCAGGAGAGGUAGGUGGAAUGCCUAGUGUAGCGGUGAAAUGCGUAGAUAUUAGGAGGAACACCAGUGGCGAAGGCGGCUUACUGGACUGUAACUGACGUUGAGGCACGAAGGCGUGGGGAGCAAACAGGAUUAGAUACCCCAGUAGUC